UUAGGUUUCAGUGUUUUUGCAUAGGUUAUGUAACCUUAGCUGGGUAAUACAAAAUUCUUUUUCAAUACAACCAAAAGAAAUCAGAAUGUACUACAACCUUGAUAGACAAAGGUGAAAAACAGACCUUAGGUUUCAGUGUUUUUGCAUAGGUUAUGUAGCGCUUCACUUGUGCAGUGCUAAAGGGAGGAUCAACUGCAUUUUCCCGCUUUUGGUGAACUCUCACAAUGUGAUGAGCAAUAUUGUAGUCUGUUUGAUCGUCAGGGUCAUCGAUCAUAACAUAUACCAAAUCAAACCUUGAAAGGAUGGCAGGAGGUAGAGCAACAUUAUACUGUAUAAGCAAACAACAUCAUCAGGGUCAUCAAUCAUAACAUAUACCAAAUCAAAUCUUGAAAGGAUGGCAGGAGGGAGAGCAACAUUAUACUGUACAAGCAAACAACAUCAUUAGACAACUAGACAUGACGGGUGAAACAUGUAAGAAUGAUGACAAAACCCAACAGCAGGAGGAAGUGUUAGUAGCAAGCACAA
rnacentral:lncRNA from 1 species